rnacentral:rRNA from 1 species
UACGUAGGGACCAAGCGUUGUUCGGAUUUACUGGGCGUAAAGGGCGCGUAGGCGGCAUGACAAGUCACUUGUGAAAUCUCCGGGCUUAACUCGGAACGGUCAAGUGAUACUGUCGCGCUAGAGUGCGGAAGGGGCAAUCAGAAUUCUUGGUGUAGCGGUGAAAUGCGUAGAUAUCAAGAGGAAUACCUGAGGUGAAGACGGGUUGCUAGGCCGACACUGACGCUGAAGCGCGAAAGCCCAGGGGAGCAAACGGG